rnacentral:rRNA from 1 species
AGUGAACGCUGGCGGCAGGCCUAACACAUGCAAGUCGAACGGCAGCACAGUGGAGCUUGCUCCAUGGGUGGCGAGUGGCGGACGGGUGAGGAAUACAUCGGAAUCUGCCCAGUCGUGGGGGAUAACAUAGGGAAACUUAUGCUAAUACCGCAUACGACCUACGGGUGAAAGCGGGGGAUCGCAAGACCUCGCGCGAUUGGAUGAGCCGAUGUCCGAUUAGCCAGUUGGCGGGGUAAUGGCCCACCAAGGCGACGAUCGGCAGCUGGUCUGAGAGGAUGAUCAGCCACACUGGAACUGAGACACGGUCCAGACUCCUACGGGAGGCAGCAGUGGGGAAUAUUGGACAAUGGGCGCAAGCCUGAUCCAGCCAUGCCGCGUGGGUGAAGAAGGCCUUCGGGUUGUAAAGCCCUUUUGUCCGGAAAGAAACGCCUCGGAUUAAUACUCUGGGGUAAUGACGGUACCGGAAGAAUAAGCACCAGCUAACUUCGUGCCAGCCGCCGCAGUAACAC